CCUCCCUAGGAGAGGCUCCCGGAGCGCCCACAUCCCGGGCUCUCCAGGACUUCCCCGGCCCCGGAGCGGGAGCUGCGGAACCCCACGCCGCACUGACGGGCCUGCCCGCAGAGGCUGGACAGUGAGCUUCUCAAAUUGCCAGGCUUUUGGAGAGCUAGCGGUGGCCGUGUGACUCAGUUCUGGUGCAGGAGAGGCAAAGCAGAAAUGUCUGAGAAGGGUUUCCCUUCCCCAAGAGAGGCCAAACCUUGAACAGAGAAGAAUGUGAAUCCCUCUGUCUCCUUCCUGUCUGGAACUCAAAGCCGGUGCCUGGAGGUGCGGCAGCCGUCUUGGGACUAUGAGGAUGAAACCCGCGUGCCGUGCAGGAAGACCCUGACCUCGCCCAAAAUUCUGGAUGGACCGGAGUUAAAUAUAACAAAUAUGUAAACAACAUAACCAAAAACCUAGGCGAAAACAGAAGCAUAUUUGUAACAUCUGCAGGACGGUGAAGUGGGCUUCACAGAAAAUGACAAGGACAAAAUGCUAUGUUUCAAUAUGAAAAUAAAGAA